UGAAGAAGAAUUGGGUCUCAUGAUGGAGUUGCUGAUGGAGCCCCUGUAGUUGGAGACGUUGGUGUUGGGCAUCUCCCGGCUGGCAGCAUUCAUGGACAGCCACGAAAGCACGAGUUUCACCAACUGCAGUCUCCAUUCGAGAACUUUCAGAGAGACGACACCUUGUUUUCCAAAUGGAAAGGAAACUAAGAGUCAGAAGGAAGCUGAGAGGACAAUAACCUAGGAACUCAAGAACCGAAACAUGAUGCCCAAACCACAAAAAGGGCUCAAAAGAGCGAGAAACUCUGCAGAGCAGAAGCCCGUGUAUCAAGAACCAAGGCCACUGGCUCAAAAUACGUGAGAGCACUGAACUAUAUCAGACAGGCCGAGGUCAGUCUAGAUUUACCUGAUAAAUCCUCUGCGAUCCCAAAUUCAUCCUUUAUAGACGAAAACUCCACCUCGGUCUGAUUGCUGGCAUUCAUGGACCCGGAUCGUGGCUCAUGCGCGUUGUCUUCGGCAACAUCAGUGGGCUGCAGAAACGCCGUGUGGACAUCCUGAAUGUGCGCCUUGAGAUCCUCAUAGGAUGGGGCUCUGAAGUCACAGCCAUCACACUGAAGCACCUCCAUGACGGGGGUCUACCCUCUCACAUCAGGGACCUGUGGCAGAAGGCACAACGAAACGUCUCAAGCAAGGCAGGGAAUGCACAGCCCAAGUCGAUGGGGCUGAAGUCAUUACUGGAGAAAAUUCUAGUAUCGGCAGAUUUCGCUUACUAAGCUCUACCAGUUGGAACACUGGCCAGAGGAAGGCCAUCAGACAUAACGGGGAUGAUGUCCUUGACUUCAUAACUUCAAAGAAGGAAAGAAAAAAAACAACACCACCCAGAUAAACUUUUAUUGGCUUGAUAGAUCUUCAAAUGCCAUUUGUCAAGCAAACGUCCAGAGUUCUAGUACUUUCUGAAUUUCUUGACCAAAUUCAAAUUUCUUGGUAAGUUAAUUCUGAUUGUGGUUCUGGCUUGGGCCCAUUUUCUUUUGUGAAAUAGAGGCUGUCCAUACAGAGGAAAAGAAAAAACUUCAAUCUCCAUUUGCCGUUUUAGUAUCAUAACACUGAUGUUUUACCACUACAUUGUGAAACAGUAUGGCAUCUCAGAGUGGUGGUAAAGAGAGCUUUUAUUGGACCUUUUAUUAUUUUAAUCUUAAUAAUUUUAAGAAAUAAAAAUUU